UCCACCAAAUCGUGGAUCAGCUGGCAGCUGAGAAGGAACAGCAGCAGCAGCAGCUUCAGAUACAUUUUCUUUAUCAUAGUACUGUGUAGCUGUUAGACAUAUUAUCGUGUCUGCUUAAAAGAAUUCAUCAUAUACAUAAUAUGAUGUCUGAGGCACAUUCUUCGUUAUUGUUGUAGAUGAUUUCAAGGAGUAGGAGCAGGAAUGAGCAGAGGUUGUGGCGCCAUAUGCGUCACUGCUAUCAAACCUCGAGCGAUGGAUCCACAGUGGUUUGGGCAAGGAGAUGCUUGAGUUGGCGGAGGAGAUGCAGAAGGAGCUACGUCGAAAUGGGGAGAUGCCAGAAGACCUGAAGGAUACCGCACAGAGCCUGAUAGAGAUAGAACCAUUGUUCAUGUAGUAUACAGUGGCGCAAGUACCGAGGGCGGUGAAGGUAGAACUGUAGAAGAGGUUCUGAGUGGCAUGCUGCACCAUGUACAAUGAGCCUCGUCAGUGCACAGGAAGCUGCUGCUGCACCAGCAGUCACAGCCACAGUCGCCCCUGUCUCCGCCCCUGCCUCCACCAACCUUUUUCUGGAGUCCAUGAGCCAUCCUCCUUCCAGCAUCUGGCUCAUUUGACUUGCAUUUCUCCAGGCCAUAAACAUGAAGCAAUGUUCUGGUACUCCGUGCCUCAAAUUCAGAACAGCAGAACAAGCAGGAUAAACAUACUGUCGUCCGACCCCUCCAUUUCUCAAAAUUUGUCAGUAAGUGUAAGUGCAUGCGAACGCUUUGUUAUUCUUAGCUGAGGAAAUUAAGGAGAAAGGCAAUUAUCAUUUUGUUUGUAUCAAGGACCUGACUCCUUGCCUCCCAACUAAGUAAAUGUAAGGAUAUACAGCAUAUUGGAUUAAGGUGUCCCAAUGUCUUUUCCCCAGAAAAGUUAUUAGGAAACUAUCUAGUAGACUGCACUUCAAAGAAUUCAGUAUGUGUUAUGCAAAAAAAUGGUUCAAAUGGCUCUGAGCAUUAUGGGGCUCAACUGCUGAAGUCAUUAGUCCCCUAGAACUUAGAACUAGUUAAACCUAACUAACCUAAGGACAUCACAAACAUCCAUGCCCGAGGCAGGAUUCGAACCUGCUACCGUAGCGGUCUUGCGGUUCCAGACUGCAGCGCCUUUAACCGCACGUCCACUUCGGCCGGCACGUGUUAUGCCUAUUGAAGAAAACAUAUUCGUAAAGUUUAACAAUAUUCACCAUCAGGAGCGUUACCCAUUUGUGGUGUAUGUCAACUUGGAAUGCCUCCUCGUUCUUGUGACCCACUAUGAAGGUGACCCUACAUAUUACCUUUACGGGAAAACACGUACACUGUGAUGCAAUCUAAAGUCGACCUGUCGCCUCAUGACGAUAGUCGCCUCAUGACGAUAAAAGGGUCAUUUGGGAUUACAGGAAUGAAAUUCACCCAUACUCAAACUAUUCGCAUUUUGAGAGAGCGUAGGUGAAAAGACUCUGACGGAAUGAGAGGGCGAGAAUGAGAUUGGGUGAUACUGCAGAAUAAUAUGAUCCUUUUAUCAUAGUGUAAGUAAUUUUGUGUGUAUAUGUGUGAUGUAAAUAUUUAUUUAUUCAUGGAAAGCAUGUGUGUGAGGAAUGUGUGCUGUGUGCACUUGUAAAAACAUAUAUCUUGUAAGGGAAAUCUACACAUCAUGCUGAUCGGUAAAAAAUUGUAUUUGUAAAAUAUUUGCACAGCAUGUGUGUCGACAAGAAAAGCUGUAUGUCGGAAAUAUAUGUAGUUACCUUGCACAUUAUGUAAAUAAAACAGAUUUUUUAAGUUUCACUUGCCGCUAGCCAUCCAGGAUAUAUAUAUAUAUGUAUAUAUAUAGUCAACCAUCCUUCAUAAUUGUUGUAUAGCAACCACAUCA